GUAAGCUUUGAGGAUCGUGGUUCUUUGGCACCGUUUUGUCGGGUGCCGGAGCUAAGAGGGAAUCCGGUGAGCCGCGUUUUGGCGAUGCCGGAGCUGCCCCCGCAACUGUAAGCGGCGAGCCGCUGUCAAGACGUGCCACUGCCCCCGGCAAGGGGGGUGGGAAGGCCAGACAGCGGCGACGACCCGUAAGCCAGGAGACCUGCCGCGAUGUCAUAACCUCC
rnacentral:ncRNA from 2 species